CCUACGGGCGGCAGCAGUGAGGAAUAUUGGUCAAUGGACGAGAGUCUGAACCAGCCAAGUAGCGUGAAGGAUGACUGCCCUAUGGGUUGUAAACUUCUUUUAUAAAGGAAUAAAACGAGGCACGUGUGCCUUUUUGCAUGUACUUUAUGAAUAAGGAUCGGCUAACUCCGUGCCAGCAGCCGCGGUAAUACGGAGGAUCCGAGCGUUAUCCGGAUUUAUUGGGUUUAAAGGGAGCGUAGAUGGGUUGUUAAGUCAGUUGUGAAAGUUUGCGGCUAAACCGUAAAAUUGCAAUUGAUACUGGCAGUCUAGAGUACAGUUGAGGUAGGCGGAAUUCGUGGUGUAGCGGUGAAAUGCUUAGAUAUCACGAAGAACCCCGAUUGCGAAGGCAGCUUACUAAACUGUGACUGACAUUGAUGCUCGAAAGUGUGGGUAUCAAACAGGAUUAGAUACCCCUGUAGUC
rnacentral:rRNA from 1 species